rnacentral:lncRNA from 1 species
GAAGGGUAGAGUAACGCGUGUUUCCUCGCAGUUGAGGUUGCAACACGUGAUCUUGCCUCGCUCUUUCUCCGACACGUGGAUCGCGAGGUGUUCGUGGGCUGGGGUUUUUAGUCUUUUGGGAUUUUGGGUGUAUUAAUUGUAGCCUGGUUUGGAUGCACGGUUGGGUUUGAGUCCCAAUUUUAGUCUUUUUGUUUUGUUCUUCUUUUGAGUUUUAUUUUUUUGGUACGAGCUUUAGUCUUUUUAUAAUAUUAAUA